rnacentral:tRNA from 1 species
GAGGAAGUAGGUUAAGUUAAACCUCCACCGUUCAAAGGUGAAAAAGUCUUUAAAUUCCCAAGUCCUUCCUUA